rnacentral:antisense_RNA from 1 species
CUUCACCGACCCCAGCCACAGCGGCCGGUCCCCGGACCGCUGCCGCCCGUACGUGGCGAGCAGCGCCUGCGCCUC